GACAGAGGUGCCAAGCGUUAGGCGGAAUCACUGGGCUUAAAGCGUGUGUAGGCGGACUUGUAAGUACCUUGUGAAAUCCCACGGCUCAACCGUGGAACUGCUUGGUAUACUGCUUUUCUUGAGCCACUUAGGGGCUACCGGAACAAAUGGUGGAGCGGUGAAAUGCGUAGAUAUCAUUUGGGACGCCAAUGGUGAAAACAGGUAGCUGGGAGUGUGCUGACGCUGAGACACGAAAGCCAGGGGAGCGAACGGG
rnacentral:rRNA from 1 species